UCCCUACUACACUAUUGCCAUAUCAUGAAUUUUAACACCAAAAAUAAUCAACCAUGACAUAUGGCAUAAAAAUCGAAUUACCAAGACUUGCGACCUGACAUUAUAGAACCAAAUCCAACCGAACAUUUAUGCCAUUUUCGCAUGGCUAAAAGUUUACAUACCAAAUUUCAACAAAACAUAUUAGCCUAUACAUGCCGAAAUGUUCUCCUAGACCGACUAAAAAGAAGAUACCAAAAGUUGCUAGCCGGUGUGAUGACUUCGAUGACAGUCCCGAGCACGCAAAAAGACGAGUCCAAGAAACCUAAAGUAGGUGACAAGCAAACACCGAGUGAGUAUAUAACUCAGUAAGUCAUAAGCAUUACAUUGCCGUUCAGUAAUAAUAUAUCAUAAGAGAAAAUAAAUAAUGCGGGAUUAAAGUCCUCCAUCCAUACCCAAACUGUGCUAUAAUUCCUUAGGCAUUUCAGUUCGAUCUCAUACCAAGCCCUACUUUGACAUUUCAUACAUUACACCAUAUGACAUUGGAUGCAUUUAUCUUCAAGUAUAAUCACCACAUAGGUUCAAGACUUACCAAGCUCAAUCCCAAAUAUAAAUAAAAUGUCUAUUCCUCAUGAGCUCAAGGUGUUUACUCGUACCGCUGUCCAUGAUUGACUCGAUAAGGCCGCACACUUAGAGCAUGUAUAUUUAUUAGAGAAUGUAUAAUAAGCCCACACACUUAGUGCUUAAUAGUCGAGCUCGCACACUUAGUGCUAUAUAAUCAAACUCGCACACUUAGUGCUAUACAAUUUGAACCCGCACACUUAGUGCCAAUCUCAUGAUCAUAAAUGUUUACACCCGCACACUUAGUGCCGAAACCAACAACUCAAUACAUCUCACCUCUUUUCUUUUUCAUUCAAUACUUUCAUCACCCCAUGCAUACAUGUAUAUAUAUAUUUAUCAUUCCAUUCAACAUCAUUACAUAGACAUUAUGACCAUUUAAAUUAAUACAAAAUAUAUGCUUAAUGACUUACCUUGUGUUGGGUAAGACGGUUCCAACUCGGCUACUCGAUGAUAUUUUCUUUGCCUUAGCUUGAUUCUCCUCCUUUAACUCCUCGAGCUUAAUCAAUAAAUCAACUAGUUUAACCAUCUUGCUAAAUAUUUAUAAUCCAAUUACACAUGCAUAUGUUUGUUAGUAUAUUCGGCAACCAUCCUCACUAAUUACCCAUUUAGUCGAUUAUACACAUAAUCAAAGGUAACCUCACGAAUGGGCAUACUUAUGUAUAUAUAUACACUUCCGAAUGGGCAUCACAAUUAGAUUUAACACCACCUUCAUACUCAAUUAGAUGGUCGAAUGUAUGUACAAUGUCAACUAUAACAUCAUUUAAACAUCUAAUUUCAUCUCAUGAACACUUGAUCGAAUUUUCCUAAUCUAACAUAUUUUCACAUCUAUUUGUAACAUCAUGUAAAUCCACAUAUAACUACAUUUCUUAAGUCCCACAUCUUAAUGCCCAUUAUAGCCAUUCUCAUAGUCUAAAUCUAAAAAUUGGCACAUCCACCUUUCAACCAUGUUAGCCGAAUACUCAUUCUCUUCUUAGUCCUAAAUUCGGCACCUCCAACAAAGUGACUUAACAACUUCAACUUUCAUGCUAACAUAACAAGCAAUUUCACACAUACAUAUAACUAACAUGUUAAUAGCAUCAAGGUAUCAACUAAAAUUUUUAAGCUUCUUAGUCAAAGCCUAACUCUCCAACAACCCCAAAUCCAACCAUGGGAUAGAUAGAAUUUAGACUCAUCACCCAAAGGUUGUGUAAACUUCCAAAAAUAUCAUUGAACAUACCUUGAUCUAAAGGACCACCUUGGCCGAAUCUUGCUUCCUCUUCUUCCUCUAGUUAUGACAAUUGCAAAAGAAAGAAAACAUGAACACUCCUUCUUCCCUCCUUAUUAAGUAUUCAAACUCCCUCAUUUUCAUGCCACAACAUCAAACACUCCUCUUAAAUACAAGCAAUGGCCGAACUUCUUCAAAAUUUUUCUCCCUUUCUUUUUCUUGGUUUUUCAGCUAGGAGAUGGCAAGUAUGAACACCCCUGUUUUUUUGUUCACUUUCCUAUUAUUAUUCCCAUCAUUUGUUAACUAAAAAAAACAUAUUAAAUUAGAAUGAGUGGAGCAUCAUCACUCCUUGGCCGGCCACCAUGUAUUUUAUGGGUAAUUUGACAUGCAAAGCCAUGCUUCCUCUCCCUAUUAUUAAUUACUCCUUAUAAUUCAUCUAUCAUCUUUUCUAACUUCGUCAACUAGGUCCUUUUCGAAUUAAUUCACAUUCCUAAAGCUAAUAUUAAGCAUUUAAUUUCUCAUAUAUUCACUAUCACACAAAAAUUUAUGCAAAAAUUUAUGUAAUUAAAACACAAAAAUAAAUUUUUGGCUCGGUAAUGUGGUCUCGAAACCACAUUUCGACCAGAGUCUAAUUAGGGUUGUCACAACUCUCCCCCACAUAAGAAAUUUUCGUCCCCGAAAAUCUUACCGGUAAAUAAUUUUGGAUAGCGAUCCUUCAUAGAGUCCUCAAGUUCCCAAGUGGCUUCUUCAAUUCCGUGUUUAUGCCACAACACCUUCACUAAUGGGAUUUUCUUAUUUCGCAACUCUUUUACUUCACGCAUCAAAAGGCGAACCGGUUCUUCUUCAUAACUCAAGUUAGGCUGAAUCUCGAUCUCAGAUGGAGUGAUUACGUGCGACGGGCCGGACCUAUAUCGUCGAAGCAUCGAGACAUGGAAAACGUUGUGAAACUUUUCAAGCUCAGGGGGAAAAAUUAAUCGGUAUGCAACUGGUCCAACUCGUUCGGAUACUUCAUACGGACCGAUGAACCUCGGACUUAGUUUGCCCUUACGACCAAAUCUAAGCACCUUCUUCCAGGGUGAAACUUUGAGAAAUACUUUGUCUCCAACCUGAUAUUCAAUGUCUUUUCUUUUCGAAUCCGCAUACGACUUUUGACGAUCCGAAGCGGCUUUCAAACUUUCACGAAUUACUCGAACUUUCUGCUCAGCAUCCUUAAUCAAAUCAACCCCAAAAAUUUUACUUUCACUAAGUUCUGUCCAAAAUAAUGGGGUACGGCAUUUACGACCGUAUAAGGCCUCGUAAGGUGCCAUCUUAAUGCUUGAUUGAAAGCUAUUGUUGUAAGCAAAUUCAAUCAAAGGCAAAUAUCUUUCCCAUGAACCACAAAACUCUAAGACGCAACAUCUCAACAUAUCCUCGAGUAUCUGAAUUAUUCGUUCAGAUUGGCCAUCAGUCUGGGGAUGAAAUGCGGUGCUAAAAUGCAUCUUAGUACCCAACGCUUCUUGUAACUUUUUUCCAAAAUCGCGAUGUAAAUCUUGGGUCUCUAUCCGACACGAUAGAAAUAGGUACCCCAUGCAAUCGAACAAUUUGGGAGAUGUAUAAUUCUGCCAAUUUAUCGAGUGAAAAAUCUGUACGGACAGGGAUAAAAUGAGCAGACUUGGUCAAUCUAUCAACAAUAACCCAGAUUGCAUCUUUCUUGCUUGAUGACAAUGGCAAUCCAGAUACAAAGUCCAUCGUUACCCGAUCCCACUUCCAUUCGGGUAUCAUGAUCGGCUGAAGUAAUCCCGACGGCACUUGAUGUUCCGCUUUUACUUGUUGGCAUAUCAAACACCUUGAAACAAAUUCAGAAAUGUCUCGUUUCAUACCGGGCCACCAAAAUUGACGUUUCAGGUCAUUGUACAUUUUAGUACUACCUGGGUGGACUGACAUUCGACUACUGUGAGCCUCGUCCAAAAUCAUCGAAAUAAGUUCCGAAUUUCUUGGAACACAUAAUCGACCUCUGAACGUCAAGCAAUCAUUGUCGUCAAUCCGAAACUCCGAUUCCUCAUUCGAAGCACAUUCAGCUCGUUUAGUGACCAAUUCAGCGUCGACUUUCUGGGAUUCAAGUAUUUGACGAAUCAAUAAUGGUUUGGCCUCUAAUUCAGCUACUAGCACCCCAUCGGGUGAGACGGACGAGUGAGCAUUCACCUCUCUCAAAGCAAACAGUGGUUUCCGACUUAAAGCAUCGGCAACCACGUUAGCCUUUCCCGGGUGAUAAUCAAUAACAAGUUCAUAGUCUUUCAACAACUCAAGCCAACGUCUUUGUCGCAGAUUUAGAUCUCUUUGAGUCAUCAAAUAUUUAAGACUUUUGUGGUCUGAAUAAAUAUGACACCUUUCCCCAAACAAGUAAUGCCGCCAUAUUUUCAGGGCGAAUACUAUGGCCGCCAAUUCAAGAUCAUAGGUCGGAUAGUUUCUCUCAUGUGGCUUUAAUUGUCUCGACGUGUAAGCCACAACUCGACCUUCUUGCAUCAACACACAACCUAGCCCAAGUAAGGAUGCAUCACUAUAAAUGAAAAACUCUUUGCCGGACUCCGGUUGUACUAGCACUGGAGCUUCGGUUAAACAGGUCUUUAGUCGAUCGAAACUCUUCUGACAGUUUUCUGUCCAUUCAAACUCAACAUCUUUUUGGAGUAGUUUCGUCAACGGUGCAGCUAUCAUCGAGAAACCCCUUACAAGCUGUCGGUAGUAUCCGGCAAGUCCCAAAAAGCUCCUAACUUCAGUAAUAUUCCUCGGAGGUUUCCAAUCGAGUAUGGCCGAAAUUUUGUUCGGAUCCACUCUAACAUCCGAUACGGACACCACGUGCCCCAAAAAGCUAACCUCUUUCAACCAAAAUUCACAUUUACUGAAUUUUGCGUAUAACUGCUUGUCUCGCAAAAUCUGUAAUACUAACCUCAAAUGCUCGGUGUGUUCGGCUUCACCUUGUGAAUAAACUAAAAUAUCAUCAAUAAACACAACCAAAAAUCGAUCCAAGUAUGGCCUCAAUACUCGACUCAUUAAAUCCAUAAAUACCGUAGGGGCAUCAGUGAGCCCAAACGGCAUCACUAAGAAUUCGUAGUGACCGUACCUCGUUCUAAAAGCGGUUUUGGGUAUGUCCGAGUCUCGAACCCUCAACUGAUAAUAACCAGAUCUCAAAUCUAUCUUGGAAAAUACUGAGGCUCCCUUUAAUUGAUCAAACAAAUCAUCAAUACGUGGCAACGGGUAUUUAUUCUUUAUGGUCACUUUAUUCAACUGACGAUAAUCGAUGCACAAUCUCAUGGUUCCAUCCUUCUUUUUCACAAACAAUACGGGUGCGCCCCAUGGAGAAAAACUCGGUCGAGCGAAACCUCUAUCCAUCAAUUCUUGCAAUUGAACUUUCAAUUCCUUUAAUUCUGUUAAUGCCAUACGAUACGGGGCUAUUGAGAUUGGCGUGGUACCAGGUACAAUCUCGAUGCCGAAUUCCACCUCUCGAACCGGUGGCAACCCCGGUAACUCCUCAGGAAAAACAUCUGAAUACUCACAAACCACUGGUACUGAUUCAAGUUUCCUUUCCGUCUCUUUGCUAUCAAAUACAUACGCAAGGUAUGUUUCACACCCCUUUUUCACAUAUCUCUGAGCGGUCAUUGAAGAUAUUAUCGCUGGCACCCCCUUCAAAUCGGUAGACUCAACUCGGACUACCUCAUCAUGUGCACUCCUCAAAUCGAUGGUUUUUCUUUUGCAGUUCACCACUGCAUCAUGUAUGGUCAACCAAUCCAUACCAAGAAUGACAUCAAAUUCGUCAAACGGUAAAAGCAUCAAAUCGGCCGGAAAAUAGGACUCUCGGAUUAUUAGAGGGCAUCUCUUACACACUUUAUCAACAAGUACGUAUUGACCCAAAGGGUUUGACACUCGAAUUACGAACUCAGUAGACUCAACAGGUAAAGUCUUACUGGAUGCUAAGGUUUCACAUACAUAUGAAUGAGUAGAGCCAGGGUCAAUCAAUGCAAUCACAUUAGUAUCAAAGAGAGUGAAGGUACCAGUGAUGACGUUAGGGGAGGAUGCCUCCUCUCGUGCGCGAAUGGCAUAUGCUCUAGCAGGAGUACGGUUCUCGGCUCGAACAGCCGUAUCAGAGGCCCCUCUCUGACUACCACCCCUACCUCCUAAAAUUCUCGGUGGUCUACCUCUAGCUGUCACUCCACCAGGUCUUGCACCUUGAAUCUUAUUCUUCUCAUCAAGCUCCGUGCAAUCUCUAAUGAAGUGGUCCUUCGAACCGCAUCCGUAACAGGCCCUGUUAGUAGACUUACCCCAACAUUCACCUAGGUGUCGUCUUCCACAUUGGGGGCAUUCAGGUUUCUCUUGACGAUUAUUGCCCACACUAGCUACUGAAGUAGCUCGGGAGUCCGUCGAUGGUCGUGCUCUGAUGGAAAUUCCCGCAGUCGUCCUCGACUUACUAGUGUCCUCCUUGAACUUCUUUACAUCCGAGAACGGAGCUUUACCCGUCGAUCUUUUACGAUAGUCUCUAGCUUCAAACUCAGCCUUCUUCUUCUCCUUUCCAAGUUCUUCCGCCUUGCAGGCUCGUUCGACUAGUGUUACGAACUCCUUUAUCUCCAAAAUACCCACUAGUAGCUUUAAAUCUUCAUUCAAUCCUUCUUCAAAUCUUUUGCACAUAGCAACCUCAUCGGCCACACACUUCCGGGCAUACCGACUGAGUCUUACGAACUCAUGUUCGUAUUCAGAUACUGUCAUACGGCCUUGCUUGAGUUCCAAGAAUUCUUUACGUUUUUGAUCGACGAACUGUUGACUAAUAUACUUCUUUCGAAAUUCCAUUUGAAAGAAAUCCCAAGUAACUCGUUCGUUUGGGACUAUGGAAAUCAAGGUUCUCCACCAAUAGUAGGCUGAGUCCCGCAACAAGGAUAUAGCACACUUUAGACAUUCAUCGGGUGUGCAUGACAGUUCAUCAAACACCCGAAUGGUGUUAUCAAGCCAGAACUCAGCCCUUUCGGCAUCAUCAGUAACUAUGGCCCUAAACUCCUCAGCCCCGCGCUUCCUAAUCAAGUCUACAGGUGGCUUACUCAGCCUCACAGGAUCAGUAACUGAUGGCAUUACAGGCUCUUGGGGUGGAUUAUUCAAAUUCGGGCAUAUUGCGCGACCCACUCAUUCAUCAUGGUAAAGAAGGCUUGUUUAGCCCCCUCACCUUGAUUAUUCACAGAUGACUGAGGUUCAACAGGCGGCGUCCCUUGUGCAGGAGCAGCCGCUACACUUUCAAUGUCAUCCGCCAAGGUUCUCUCUACACCGGGAUCCAUUUACUAAUCAAAACAAAAAUUUUAACCGUCAGAAGUCAUCACACAUUUAAACAUUAACAUUAAGGCAUGUAUAGCUAGACUCAUACGUGCUAUGGUAGUCCUAGAACCGACUAAAUUAUCACACAUUUAAACAUUAACAUUAAGGCAUGUAUAGCUAGACUCAUACGUGCUAUGGUAGUCAUAGAACCGACUAAACCAUAGCUCUGAUACCAAUUAAAUUGUAACCCCCCAAACCCGAGACCGUCACGGAGUCGAACACGAGGUGUUAACAGACUUCAAACCACUUAUUAGAAAUUUCCCAGACAAGCUGCCAAUCUGCGUAUGAGUCGCAUUAAAAAUCAUAUCAUGAGUUCUGAAACUCGAAAUCCAGUUCCGUAAAUUUUCCCCGGAACUAGACUCAUAUAACUAUAUGGUAGAAUUUUUGUAGAAUUUUUGGCCGGGCCAAUUGGUACAGUUUAUUGGUUAAAGUCGUCCCUGUUCCUGGGUUCGACUACUCUGACCCUUGUGCAUUACGACUUAGAUAUCUCCCUUUACAGAGCUUCAAUACUUAUGCCGUUGAUUUCUAAUGAAACUAGACUCAAAAGGGAAUCUAUAAAUAUAAAGAAUGACUUCUAAUUGUCUCUGAUUAAUUUAGGGUGAAUUUCUAAAGUCGAGACAGGGGAUCCAGAAAUCGCUCUGGCCCUGUUUCACAAGAGUUUAAUUAUCUCCUAACAUACAGCUCAUAUGGUCGUUUUGUUUCUUCUAUAUGAAAGUAGGCUCAUCGAUCUUCGAUUACAUAAUUUAUUCAUUAAUUAAUUCCAUUCCUACUAUUUUUAGUGAUUUUUCAAUCUCACGUCACUGCUGCUGCCAGCAUCUGUUACUAAAGCAACUAUGCCUAUUUCGUGAUUUCUCCUUGAUCUAACUAGUAAUUCAUCAUACAUAUCACAAAUUAUGAUCAUGAUUAGCCAUGCCAAAGGCUAAUCAUUGUCAAACAUCUCCCUACUACACUAUUGCCAUAUCAUGAAUUUUAACACCAAAAAUAAUCAACCAUGACAUAUGGCAUAAAAAUCGAAUUACCAAGACUUGCGACCUAACAUUAUAGAACCAAAUUCAACCGAACAUUUAUGCCAUUUUCGCAUGGCUAAAAGUUUACAUACCAAAUUUCAACAAAACAUAUUAGCCUAUACAUGCCGAAAUGUUCUC
rnacentral:lncRNA from 1 species